GUAUAAUGAUGAAACCCAUGCGUGUCAGCUGACUCUGUAAACCGCUGCUGUGUUGUUGCUCUGGUCGGCGUUUUGUCGGCCCGAGUCCUCGGCACAGCGGGGCUACAGAGACGUGAUCAAACAUCACUACUCUGAAUAC